ACACGGCAACUUGGAUUCUAUGUCUGCAGAAAUGAUCAUCUCCUUCGAGCUGCUCUCAUCCCUCUGUCUUUUCUCUCCAUUAACCUGAUUUCCUACCAGGCUUUUCUCAGUUAUGUGGGAGGAUGCAGAAUUUAAUCCUUAUUCAUUGUUCCUUGAGGAUUUACCACAUGACAGACACUGUUCUGAGCAUUCUGCAUGUAUUAAGCCCAUUUAACAUGAGGUAGGUAGGGAUUGUUAUCAUGCCUAUUUGUGUUUGAGGAAACUGAGGCCCAGCAAGGGCAGGGAGUCAAUCGUCUGUGCUCUAUAAACACAGCGAACAGCCCUGAAGGAGUCCCCCUACUCUUGAGAAGCCAAUGUUUCUAGAGUGGGGAGACAGAAAGUGAAGAAGAGAACAAAUGAGGUAAUUUCAGGAAUAAAUUAGAAGGACGUUUAUGAAGGAGACUGGCCCAAUCUCAUUCUAGGUCACACAGUAGCUACUAAGGGGGGGCACUGGGCCCAGAACCCAGGCUAUCUGACGCCAAGGGCAACCUAACAUUGCACCCCACAUCAUUCUUCUUAAAGGGGCUUAUCUGGCAUUUCCUAUAUGGAUUAUGAAUUAUUACAUAUAGGCAUUUCCUAUGUGGAUUAUGAAUUAUUACAUAUAGAACAAUGUAGCAAAGAAGAAGGUAUUAAAAAGUUUCUUUUAAAAAAUUCAGCAAAUAAUAACAACCAGAUGAAGGAAACUUCUCUAGGUCAUUUGCUUCAGAUCCACACUUCGGAUGAAAAUGGCUGAAAAGGAGGCAGAGAUGGCAGAAGACUAAAGGAAAGCGCCGAGCUGUGACUUGACGCCCAUUCCAAGGGCAGUGUGGCUCUUGUGAGACCAAAAGAAGAGUAGGAAUGAACGCGUGGGUCCUGUGAGCAGCGGGUGGCUUUGCUGAGCUUGGUGCUCUUAGAAGACCAGCCACUUUUGUCCCUGCAGCCCGGGGCCACAGAGCCAGACACCAGACCCACAGCAGCCCGGGAAGUAACGGUCGCUCUGUCUCGUCUGGGAAGAUCUCCGUUGCCAGGGCUUGCUGGACCCGCCCCCGCACAGCUUCCCAGCAGUCCCGAUUCCGCCUGAGGCUCCAGAAGGCGAAGCUGUACAGGAGGCCACUUUUCUUCUCAGCCUAGAACUCGAGAGACCUGAAAGGAAGGACGACUGGCCACAGGAGAUGUUUCACAGAGCCGCUGAAUGAACAACACAGUCAAUUCUGAUCAACUUUCCAGUGCUAUCUGGGGCUUCUUUCCUCAUCAGGGAAGUAAACAUUUUACCAGAAACUCCCUGGCAGCCUUUUCCUGAACUGUCCUAAGGGCUAUGGCUGAAGUGUAAGUGAGUGGCCCUGGAGGUGGGUGCCUCUCCCCGGCGCAGUUUUUCCUUCCAUCACAAGCAUGGCUGAAGCUGGGUGGUGGUGCAUACAGAUUCCAGCCAGCAAGGAGGGGAAAGAGAGUUCAGAGGACUCACCUCCACUGUCCCCGACCCAGGCCUGUAGCAUCUAUAUUGGCUCCUCUCAGGUUCCACAGAAUUCCUCAAGAUGACUGAGGUUGGUCCCUGAAGAAACCAAAUUCAGUGUAAGAAAACCAACAUCACAAAGAGGACUGUGCUACCUUUCUGCAUGUGAGUGCAGAGACUGACCUUCAGAACUCAGCUGAGAGUAUUAGAAGCCUGCCUGUGGAGGAAGGCCCACCCAGGCUGCAUGCGCUUCCCUCCCCCAGGGGCAGAAGCCUGAGCAGGCAGAGGUGGGGGAAGGACAGAGCCAUGGAAUGGCCAGAGCCGGACAGAGCCAGGAGAUGAAAAAUCAAGGUCCGGAAUUAUUAGGUGACUUGGGCAACUUGCCACAGUCCCAAAUGGUAAGUCCUAAAUGCCUCAAGACGGAAAUCCAGGCAGGCUGGCCCCUGAGGCUGAGGAUCCAGCUCCACACAGGACUGCCUGUCCAGAAGCGUGAGAUCUUUGCCUGUAGGCUGAGUGAGACUCCACCAGAUGAGUGGGCAGGCAUUCCAGGCAGGGGUGAUGACACAUGCAAAGGCAUAGAGAUGAUAAAACAUGCUACUUACGGGAGAAGACAAAAGUGCCAAGGAAGAGAGAUACGUGGUAAAGGGUGAAGAUGGACAGGCCAGAGAAGGAAAUCUCUGCUCUUCAGAUGUCUGUGACUUGCGGGGUGGAGAGACAAAGUCUGAGAAGAUCCUGCGUCCCUUCUUUUUCCCUGAGAGAGUUGUCCUGAGCAACCUACACGAGAGCUGGGUUUCAUGUACUAUAUGGUUUACAGUGGGUGAGGAUUCUCUUG
rnacentral:lncRNA from 1 species